rnacentral:rRNA from 1 species
GACGAACGCUGGCGGCGUGCUUAACACAUGCAAGUCGAACGGAAAGGCCCUGCUUUUGUGGGGUGCUCGAGUGGCGAACGGGUGAGUAACACGUGAGUAACCUGCCCUUGACUUUGGGAUAACUUCAGGAAACUGGGGCUAAUACCGGAUAGGAGCUCCUGCUGCAUGGUGGGGGUUGGAAAGUUUCGGCGGUUGGGGAUGGACUCGCGGCUUAUCAGCUUGUUGGUGGGGUAGUGGCUUACCAAGGCUUUGACGGGUAGCCGGCCUGAGAGGGUGACCGGCCACAUUGGGACUGGGGUACGGCCCAGACUCCUACGGGAGGCAGCAGUGGGGAAUAUUGGACAAUGGGCGGAAGCCUGAUGCAGCAACGCCGCGUGCGGGAUGACGGCCUUCGGGUUGUAAACCGCUUUCGCCUGUGACGGAGCGUGAGUGACGGUAAUGGGUAAAGAAGCACCGGCUAACUACGU